UACGUAGGGGGCAAGCGUUGUCCGGAUUCAUUGGGCGUAAAGAGCGUGUAGGCGGCCAGGUAGGUCGGUUGUGAAAACUGGAGGCUCAACCUUCAGAGGUCGACCGAAACCAUCUGGCUAGAGUCCGGGAGAGGAGAGGUGGAAUUCCGUGGUGUAGCGGUGAAAUGCGCAGAUAUCAGGAAGAACACCCGUGGCGAAAGCGGCUCUCUGGAACGGUACUGACGCUGAGACGCGGAAAGCGUGGGGAGCGAACAGG
rnacentral:rRNA from 1 species